rnacentral:lncRNA from 1 species
AUGGAAAAUAUGAAGCAAUUAGAAGACGAAGAAACAAAAAACAUGACAACCAUAAAGGAGACAAUUAAAAGACAAAGACAACUAACAUGUCAAGUAAUGGAGGAGAUUGAACAACUUUUGGAAGAGACACAAAGACAGAGAGAUGAAAAUUACCACUUGAAGACAAAGACAGAGCAGCAACAAGAGGACAUUGACACGCAGGGAUCUCAAAAACAUGAGCAGCACUUAUUGACAGAAGGACUGAGCCUGCAGAUAGAAAAUAUUGUUGAGAAGCUCAAGGAGAAUAAAAAUGCUGCCACUCAAGAAAAAAUACAACUUCAGAAGAUGUGGGCUGAGAUAUACCAAGAGAGAGAAACUCUGGAAAGAAGACGAAAAGAGAUCAUCAGUGAGCGGCACAAGUUGGAAAUGAUUAAGUAUGAUAAGACAACAUCACAAGAAAGUAAGGAACCUGAAGAGGCCAUGGAGCGGGAGAUAAUAGAGAGGCUGGUGGCUGACAUGAACAAAAAUAAGAAAAUACUCCUAGAAGCAAAGCAGGAAAAAGAACAUGUGGAGAAAAACAUGGCGGACAUAAAGCAAGAGUUGAAGAGAAAUAGAAAGGAUAUUUCACACUAUAGAGAUCAAAUUGAGCACAUCAAACAAAAUGUGACUGUUAAUAUUAACAAGAUGAAGCAAAGGUGGACCAAAAUUCAAAUGGAUGUUCAAAUGCAGAAAGCCACAGUCCUAGAGAUGGAAAGCAAAGAAAGAGAGAAAGAAGGAAGAGACACAUUUGACACUGUGAGGAUGAAAUUCAGCAGAAUCCGAGAAGAGAUACAGAAACUUUGGGAUGUGCUGGAAGACAGUGAACCACAACUGGAACAGCUAAAGACAGAAAAAUCUGACUCUGAAAAGCAAAGACCAGACACAGAUGUAAGCAUGAAGCUAACAAAGUGGGAAACAGAGAUGCAGUGGCAAAAACAAGACAUAGAGAACAAGUUGGCACAGGUUCAGUCUGAAAGAGAUGACAUAGAAAGAACCAAAACUAAAAUGCAGAUGGAGAGAGAGAACAUUGAGAGGGACAGGCAGUCAGCUAAAGCAGAAAUGGAUGCAAUGAAGUGUAUGAGGGAGAGCAUUGAAAGGCAAAAGCAGGAGCUGGAUGACAGGUUACAGAGGACAAAGAGAGAGAUGAGAGAGCUGAAAGUCAUGAACACUGAGAUUGAAAUAAAGAAAAAUGACCUGGUGAAAAUGAUAGGAAUGAGCAGGAGAAAAAAGGAAGAGAUCAGUAAGAUGAAGGGUGAGACUGCUGAAGAAGACACAGAGGAAAGACAAGAUAUGACUAAGGGGCAGAGGUCAAAGCAGAAGCAGGAGGCGGAGGACAGAUCUAAUGAGCAGAAACGCUGCGACAGCACCAAAGAAAUAACACAACCUGAAGAACAUCAGUUUGAGGAGGGACAACAUGGAGACUAG